AUGCCGCUAUCAUUAUCAUGCGCGAAGCUAAGCUUGAUAGGAGCCCGAGCUAAGAGAAUAGAGCAAACUCGACGUCACAAAACCAGGGAUAGAUCGCUCAAGGGAGCAACUCGAGAUAGAUGCAAGAUUCUUUCUCCUGCCCUUCACUUAGAAAGAAAAUGGCUCGACGGAGAUGGUUCGAAUCAAGCGAAACCAAAGGCAUUCGUUGGCACCCGAGAUGCUAAGGAUCGAAGACUAACUUUUUGGAUAUGGAAUAGUACUUUCUGUUUGUGCCCCUUUUUACGACCAAGUCACAAUGGCUAGUAUCUAUCUGGGGAUGCGCUGCUGUGGUGACGGACGCGAUAUGAGGACAUGCUGGAGGGCCGUUGCGAGAUCAACGCCUGGCUGGGAUGGGAGGAACUAA